rnacentral:rRNA from 1 species
AACAAAAACAUGUCUUUUUGAUUUUUUUUUAAAGUUUAACCUGCCCAGUGAAUUAAAAUUUUUAACGGCCGCAGUAUAUUGACUGUGCAAAGGUAGCAUAAUCAAUAGUCUUUUAAUUGAAGGCUUGAAUGAAUGGUUGGACGAGAUAUUAACUGUUUCAUUUAAAUUUAUAAUAAAAUUUUAUUUUUUAGUUAAAAAGCUAAAAUAAAUUUAAAAGACGAGAAGACCCUAUAAAUCUUUAUAUUUAGUUUAUUAUAAAUUUAUAGAAUAUUUUUUUUAUAAUAAUUAUAAUAUUUUAUUGGGGUGAUAUUAAAAUUUAACAAACUUUUAAUUUUAUAUUACAUUAAUUUAUGAUUUAUUGAUCCAUUAUUAUUGAUUAAAAAUUUAAGUUACUUUAGGGAUAACAGCGUAAUUUUUUUGGAGAGUUCAUAUCAAUAAAAAAUAUUGCGACCUCGAUGUUGGAUUAAGAUAUAGUUUUAGGUGUAGUCGCUUAAAUUUUAAGUCUGUUCGACUUUUAAAUUCUUACAUGACCUGAGUUCAA